UACGUAGGGGGCAAGCGUUAUCCGGAUUUACUGGGUGUAAAGGGAGCGUAGACGGCAGUGCAAGUCUGGAGUGAAAGGCGGGGGCUCAACCCCCGGACUGCUCUGGAAACUGUACGGCUGGAGUGCAGGAGAGGUAAGUGGAAUUCCUAGCGUAGCGGUGAAAUGCGUAGAUAUUAGGAGGAACACCAGUGGCGAAGGCGGCUUACUGGACUGUAACUGGCGUUGAGGCUCGAAAGCGUGGGGAGCAAACAGG
rnacentral:rRNA from 1 species